rnacentral:rRNA from 1 species
UACAGAGGGGGCAAGCGUUGUUCGGAAUUACUGGGCGUAAAGGGCGCGUAGGCGGCCUUCUAAGUCGAACGUGAAAUCCCCGGGCUCAACCCGGGAACUGCGUCCGAUACUGGAAGGCUUGAAUCCGGGAGAGGGAUGUGGAAUUCCAGGUGUAGCGGUGAAAUGCGUAGAUAUUGGGAGGAACACCAGUGGCGAAGGCGGCUCACUGGACCGGAACUGACGCUGAGGCGCGAAAGCCAGGGGAGCAAACGGG